rnacentral:rRNA from 1 species
GCUUGUCUCAAAGAUUAAGCCAUGCAUGUCUAAGUAUAAACAACUUUAUACUGUAAAACUGCGAACGGCUCAUUAUAUCAGCAAUAAUUUAUUUGAUGGUUUCUUACCCCAUGGAUAACUGUGGUAAUUCUAGAGCUAAUACAUGCGCAAAUUCCCGACUGUCGCAAGGCGGAAAGGAUGUAUUUAUUAGAUCCAACCAGCCCGGUUCGCCGGAGUCCCUGGUGAGUCAUAAUAACUGAGCGAAUCGCAUGGCCUUGUGCCGGCGAUGGUUCAUUCAAGUUUCUGCCCUAUCAGCUUUCGAUGGUAGGGUAUUGGCCUAC